UAACGUCCGUCGUGAAGAGGGAAACAACCCAGACCGCCAGCUAAGGUCCCAAAGUCAUGGUUAAGUGGGAAACGAUGUGGGAAGGCCCAGACAGCCAGGAUGUUGGCUUAGAAGCAGCCAUCAUUUAAAGAAAGCGUAAUAGCUCACUGGUCGAGUCGGCCUGCGCGGAAGAUGUAACGGGGCUAAACCAUGCACCGAAGCUGCGGCAGCGACGCUUAUGCGUUGUUGGGUAGGGGAGCGUUCUGUAAGCCUGUGAAGGUGUGCUGUGAGGCAUGCUGGAGGUAUCAGAAGUGCGAAUGCUGACAUAAGUAACGAUAAAGCGGGUGAAAAGCCCGCUCGCCGGAAGACCAAGGGUUCCUGUCCAACGUUAAUCGGGGCAGGGUGAGUCGACCCCUAAGGCGAGGCCGAAAGGCGUAGUCGAUGGGAAACAGGUUAAUAUUCCUGUACUUGGUGUUACUGCGAAGGGGGGACGGAGAAGGCUAUGUUGGCCGGGCGACGGUUGUCCCGGUUUAAGCGUGUAGGCUGGUUUUCCAGGCAAAUCCGGAAAAUCAAGGCUGAGGCGUGAUGACGAGGCACUACGGUGCUGAAGUAACAAAUGCCCUGCUUCCAGGAAAAGCCUCUAAGCAUCAGGUAACAUCAAAUCGUACCCCAAACCGACACAGGUGGUCAGGUAGAGAAUACCAAGGCGCUUGAGAGAACUCGGGUGAAGGAACUAGGCAAAAUGGUGCCGUAACUUCGGGAGAAGGCACGCUGAUAUGUAGGUGAAGUCCCUCGCGGAUGGAGCUGAAAUCAGUCGAAGAUACCAGCUGGCUGCAACUGUUUAUUAAAAACACAGCACUGUGCAAACACGAAAGUGGACGUAUACGGUGUGACGCCUGCCCGGUGCCGGAAGGUUAAUUGAUGGGGUUAGCGCAAGCGAAGCUCUUGAUCGAAGCCCCGGUAAACGGCGGCCGUAACUAUAACGGUCCUAAGGUAGCGAAAUUCCUUGUCGGGUAAGUUCCGACCUGCACGAAUGGCGUAAUGAUGGCCAGGCUGUCUCCACCCGAGACUCAGUGAAAUUGAACUCGCUGUGAAGAUGCAGUGUACCCGCGGCAAGACGGAAAGACCCCGUGAACCUUUACUAUAGCUUGACACUGAACAUUGAGCCUUGAUGUGUAGGAUAGGUGGGAGGCUUGGAAGUGUGGACGCCAGUCUGCAUGGAGCCGACCUUGAAAUACCACCCUUUAAUGUUUGAUGUUCUAACGUUGACCCGUAAUCCGGGUUGCGGACAGUGCCUGGUGGGUAGUUUGACUGGGGCGGUCUCCUCCUAAAGAGUAACGGAGGAGCACGAAGGUUGGCUAAUCCUGGUCGGACAUCAGGAGGUUAGUGCAAUGGCAUAAGCCAGCUUGACUGCGAGCGUGACGGCGCGAGCAGGUGCGAAAGCAGGUCAUAGUGAUCCGGUGGUUCUGAAUGGAAGGGCCAUCGCUCAACGGAUAAAAGGUACUCCGGGGAUAACAGGCUGAUACCGCCCAAGAGUUCAUAUCGACGGCGGUGUUUGGCACCUCGAUGUCGGCUCAUCACAUCCUGGGGCUGAAGUAGGUCCCAAGGGUAUGGCUGUUCGCCAUUUAAAGUGGUACGCGAGCUGGGUUUAGAACGUCGUGAGACAGUUCGGUCCCUAUCUGCCGUGGGCGCUGGAGAACUGAGGGGGGCUGCUCCUAGUACGAGAGGACCGGAGUGGACGCAUCACUGGUGUUCGGGUUGUCAUGCCAAUGGCACUGCCCGGUAGCUAAAUGCGGAAGAGAUAAGUGCUGAAAGCAUCUAAGCACGAAACUUGCCCCGAGAUGAGUUCUCCCUGAC
rnacentral:rRNA from 1 species